UUUUUGAAAAUAAUUUAAAGUCUAAUCUGCCCACUGAUAUUAUAUUGAAGGGCUGCAGUAUUUUGACUGUACAAAGGUAGCAUAAUCAUUAGUCUCUUAAUUGGUGACUUGUAUGAAGGAUUUGAUGAAAUAUAAACUGUCUCAUUUUAAUUUAUUGAAUUUAAUUUUUUAGUUAAAAAGCUAAAAUUUAAUUAAAAGACGAGAAGACCCUAUAGAGUUUAAUAAUUUAAUUAGUUAUUAUUUUAUAUAAUUUUUUUUUUUAUUAAUUAAUUAAAUUAUUUUGUUGGGGUGAUAGAAAAAUUGAAUUAACUUUUUAUAUAAAUUAACAUUAAUUUAUGAAUAAAUGAUCCGUAAUUUACGAUUAUAAGAAAAAAUUACCUUAGGGAUAACAGCGUAAUUUUUUUUUUUAGUUCAAAUAAGAAAAAGAGUUUGCGACCUCGAUGUUGGAUUAAGAUAAAAUUUAAAUGCAAAAGUUUAAAAUUUUUGAUCUGUUCGAUCAUUAAAAUCUUACA
rnacentral:rRNA from 1 species